AUUGAACGCUGGCGGCAGGCCUAACACAUGCAAGUCGAACGGUAACAGAAAGCAGCUUGCUGCUUUGCUGACGAGUGGCGGACGGGUGAGUAAUGUCUGGGAAACUGCCUGAUGGAGGGGGAUAACUACUGGAAACGGUAGCUAAUACCGCAUAACGUCGCAAGACCAAAGAGGGGGACCUUCGGGCCUCUUGCCAUCGGAUGUGCCCAGAUGGGAUUAGCUAGUAGGUGGGGUAACGGCUCACCUAGGCGACGAUCCCUAGCUGGUCUGAGAGGAUGACCAGCCACACUGGAACUGAGACACGGUCCAGACUCCUACGGGAGGCAGCAGUGGGGAAUAUUGCACAAUGGGCGCAAGCCUGUUGCAGCCAUGCCGCGUGUAUGAAGAAGGCCUUCGGGUUGUAAAGUACUUUCAGCGAUGAGGAAGGUGUUGAGGUUAAUAACCUCAGCAAUUGACGUUACUCGCAGAAGAAGCACCGGCUAACUCCGUGCCAGCAGCCGCAGUAA
rnacentral:rRNA from 1 species